AUUGAACGCUGGCGGCAUGCUUUACACAUGCAAGUCGAACGGUAACAGGCCGCAAGGUGCUGACGAGUGGCGAACGGGUGAGUAAUGCAUCGGAACGUGCCCAGUCGUGGGGGAUAACGCAGCGAAAGCUGUGCUAAUACCGCAUACGAUCUGUGGAUGAAAGCGGGGGACCUUCGGGCCUCGCGCGAUUGGAGCGGCCGAUGUCAGAUUAGGUAGUUGGUGGGGUAAAGGCUCACCAAGCCGACGAUCUGUAGCUGGUCUGAGAGGACGACCAGCAAAACGGGGACUGAGACACGGCCCAGACUCCUACGGGAGGCAGCAGUGGGGAAUUUUGGACAAUGGGCGCGGGCCUGAUCCAGCAAUGCCGCGUGCAGGAAGAAGGCCUUCGGGUUGUAAACUGCUUUUGUACGGAGCGAAAAGGCUCCCUCUAAUACAGGGGGCUCAUGACGGUACCGUAAGAAUAAGCACCGGCUAACUACGUGCCAGCCGCCGCGGUAAUAC
rnacentral:rRNA from 1 species